AACUGCGAGUGAAGCGGGAAAAGCUCAAAUUUAAAAUCUGGCAGUCUUUUGGCUGUCCGAGUUGUAAUUUAGAGAAGCGUCUUCCGCGCCGGACCGUGCACAAGUCUCCUGGAAUGGAGCGUCAUAGAGGGUGAGAAUCCCGUCUUUGGCAUGGACACCCGGGGCUUCUGCGAUGCGCUCUCGAAGAGUCGAGUUGUUUGGGAAUGCAGCUCAAAAUGGGUGGUGAACUCCAUCUAAAGCUAAAUAUUGGCGAGAGACCGAUAGCGAACAAGUACCGUGAGGGAAAGAUGAAAAGCACUUUGGAAAGAGAGUGAAACAGUACGUGAAAUUGUUGAAAGGGAAACGCUUGAAGUCAGUCGCGUCGAUCGAGACUCAGCCUUGCCUUGGCUUGGCAUACUUCUCGGCUGACGGGCCAGCAUCAAUUUUGUCUCUCGGAUAAUGGCAGGGGAAAGGUGGCACCUUUACCGGUGUGUUAUAGUCUCCUGUCGCAUGCGAGGGGUGGGAUUGAGGAACUCAGCACGCACCUCUUGGUGUCGGGGCUUCUGCCC
rnacentral:rRNA from 1 species